ensembl:lncRNA
CGGUCAUAGGUCUUCUUUGGAGCCUCUGAUUGCUUGAGACCCAGGAAGGAUGUCUCACCACCAGCAUCCGCCUCCGAAUCCACAUCCGCAUCCGAAGCCACAGCCGAAGCCGCAGCCGCAACCGCAGCCACAUCCGCAGCUGCAUCCACAUCCGCAGCUGCAUCCGCAUCCGCAGCCACAGCCGAAGCCACAUCCGCAGCCACAGCCGAAGCCACAUCCGCAGCCGAAGCCGCAUCCGCCUCCGCCUCCCCAGCGGCAUCCGCCUCCACCUCCGCAGCCGCAUCCGCCUCCGCCUCCGUAGCCGCAUCCGCCUCCGCCUCCACAGCCGCAUCCGCAUCCACAUCCGCAGCCACAUCCGCGGCCGCAUCCACAUCCGCAGCCGCAUCCACAUCCGCAGCUGCAGCCGAAGCCACAGCCGCUUCUGCAGCCGCAGCCGAAGCCGCAGCCGCAGCCGAAGCCGCAUCCACAUCAGCAUUAGCAUCACCAUCAGUGCAAGGAGCCCUAUCAUCCACCUCCAAUAGUGUGCCCACUGAAGUGCCAUGAGCCUUGCCCACCUCAUCCAUGCCCACCUCCAGUGAGCCAGCAGAAAUGCCCUCCUGGACCACCAUGCCCACCAUGCCCACCAUGCGAGCACAAGUGUCCACCCAAGUGGAAGUACAGCACCAGAUUUCAUCUGGACCAAGAAACAAGAUCCAGGCUCUUCCAUUGUCCUCCCUUCGGCCAUGGUGAUGGACUGCAUCUUCCUUAACCUCCCCCCUCAACCGACAGCUGACAGAGGAAAGGCUUGCUUCCUGAAGCUGACACCGCAUUGUUGGAAGAAGAGCAGCAGAAUCAUCGCUUGAUCUCUCUGUGCUAUGUGCCCGUCUGUAAUCCACGUUGUGAUCUCUACCCGGUGAGCAAUUAAUGUGUCUAUUCCUUUGCUUCUCCAAUAAAGCAUAUUCAUAGUCCAUUAUGUAUUUCUUUCUUUCGUUUUUUUUGCGUGUUUUUUUGGUUUUUUUUGCAUAUAGUGUUUUUCAUCUCUUCUGUCAGCU